rnacentral:snRNA from 1 species
CUUCAUCCAGAUGCUAAACAUAUGCUAAAAUUGGGCAGAUACAGAGAAAACUAACAUGGUAACAUGGCCCCUGACCAAGGAUGGCUGAUGAUUUGUGAAGCAUUUCAUAUUUUU